rnacentral:rRNA from 1 species
AGCGUACACGGUGGAUGCCCUGGCAGUCAGAGGCGAUGAAGGACGUGCUAAUCUGCGAUAAGCGUCGGUAAGGUGAUAUGAACCGUUAUAACCGGCGAUUUCCGAAUGGGGAAACCCAGUGUGUUUCGACACACUAUCAUUAACUGAAUCCAUAGGUUAAUGAGGCGAACCGGGGGAACUGAAACAUCUAAGUACCCCGAGGAAAAGAAAUCAACCGAGAUUCCCCCAGUAGCGGCGAGCGAACGGGGAGCAGCCCAGAGCCUGAAUCAGUGUGUGUGUUAGUGGAAGCGUCUGGAAAGGCGCGCGAUACAGGGUGACAGCCCCGUACACAAAAAUGCACAUGCUGUGAGCUCGAUGAGUAGGGCGGGACACGUGGUAUCCUGUCUGAAUAUGGGGGGACCAUCCUCCAAGGCUAAAUACUCCUGACUGACCGAUAGUGAACCAGUACCGUGAGGGAAAGGCGAAAAGAACCCCGGCGAGGGGAGUGAAAAAGAACCUGAAACCGUGUACGUACAAGCAGUGGGAGCACGCUUAGGCGUGUGACUGCGUACCUUUUGUAUAAUGGGUCAGCGACUUAUAUUCUGUAGCAAGGUUAACCGAAUAGGGGAGCCGAAGGGAAACCGAGUCUUAACUGGGCGUUAAGUUGCAGGGUAUAGACCCGAAACCCGGUGAUCUAGCCAUGGGCAGGUUGAAGGUUGGGUAACACUAACUGGAGGACCGAACCGACUAAUGUUGAAAAAUUAGCGGAUGACUUGUGGCUGGGGGUGAAAGGCCAAUCAAACCGGGAGAUAGCUGGUUCUCCCCGAAAGCUAUUUAGGUAGCGCCUCGUGAAUUCAUCUCCGGGGGUAGAGCACUGUUUCGGCAAGGGGGUCAUCCCGACUUACCAACCCGAUGCAAACUGCGAAUACCGGAGAAUGUUAUCACGGGAGACACACGGCGGGUGCUAACGUCCGUCGUGAAGAGGGAAACAACCCAGACCGCCAGCUAAGGUCCCAAAGUCAUGGUUAAGUGGGAAACGAUGUGGGAAGGCCCAGACAGCCAGGAUGUUGGCUUAGAAGCAGCCAUCAUUUAAAGAAAGCGUAAUAGCUCACUGGUCGAGUCGGCCUGCGCGGAAGAUGUAACGGGGCUAAACCAUGCACCGAAGCUGCGGCAGCGACACUAUGUGUUGUUGGGUAGGGGAGCGUUCUGUAAGCCUGUGAAGGUGUGCUGUGAGGCAUGCUGGAGGUAUCAGAAGUGCGAAUGCUGACAUAAGUAACGAUAAAGCGGGUGAAAAGCCCGCUCGCCGGAAGACCAAGGGUUCCUGUCCAACGUUAAUCGGGGCAGGGUGAGUCGACCCCUAAGGCGAGGCCGAAAGGCGUAGUCGAUGGGAAACAGGUUAAUAUUCCUGUACUUGGUGUUACUGCGAAGGGGGGACGGAGAAGGCUAUGUUGGCCGGGCGACGGUUGUCCCGGUUUAAGCGUGUAGGCUGGUUUUCCAGGCAAAUCCGGAAAAUCAAGGCUGAGGCGUGAUGACGAGGCACUACGGUGCUGAAGCAACAAAUGCCCUGCUUCCAGGAAAAGCCUCUAAGCAUCAGGUAACAUCAAAUCGUACCCCAAACCGACACAGGUGGUCAGGUAGAGAAUACCAAGGCGCUUGAGAGAACUCGGGUGAAGGAACUAGGCAAAAUGGUGCCGUAACUUCGGGAGAAGGCACGCUGAUAUGUAGGUGAGGUCCCUCGCGGAUGGAGCUGAAAUCAGUCGAAGAUACCAGCUGGCUGCAACUGUUUAUUAAAAACACAGCACUGUGCAAACACGAAAGUGGACGUAUACGGUGUGACGCCUGCCCGGUGCCGGAAGGUUAAUUGAUGGGGUUAGCGGUAACGCGAAGCUCUUGAUCGAAGCCCCGGUAAACGGCGGCCGUAACUAUAACGGUCCUAAGGUAGCGAAAUUCCUUGUCGGGUAAGUUCCGACCUGCACGAAUGGCGUAAUGAUGGCCAGGCUGUCUCCACCCGAGACUCAGUGAAAUUGAACUCGCUGUGAAGAUGCAGUGUACCCGCGGCAAGACGGAAAGACCCCGUGAACCUUUACUAUAGCUUGACACUGAACAUUGAGCCUUGAUGUGUAGGAUAGGUGGGAGGCUUUGAAGUGUGGACGCCAGUCUGCAUGGAGCCGACCUUGAAAUACCACCCUUUAAUGUUUGAUGUUCUAACGUUGACCCGUAAUCCGGGUUGCGGACAGUGUCUGGUGGGUAGUUUGACUGGGGCGGUCUCCUCCUAAAGAGUAACGGAGGAGCACGAAGGUUGGCUAAUCCUGGUCGGACAUCAGGAGGUUAGUGCAAUGGCAUAAGCCAGCUUGACUGCGAGCGUGACGGCGCGAGCAGGUGCGAAAGCAGGUCAUAGUGAUCCGGUGGUUCUGAAUGGAAGGGCCAUCGCUCAACGGAUAAAAGGUACUCCGGGGAUAACAGGCUGAUACCGCCCAAGAGUUCAUAUCGACGGCGGUGUUUGGCACCUCGAUGUCGGCUCAUCACAUCCUGGGGCUGAAGUAGGUCCCAAGGGUAUGGCUGUUCGCCAUUUAAAGUGGUACGCGAGCUGGGUUUAGAACGUCGUGAGACAGUUCGGUCCCUAUCUGCCGUGGGCGCUGGAGAACUGAGGGGGGCUGCUCCUAGUACGAGAGGACCGGAGUGGACGCAUCACUGGUGUUCGGGUUGUCAUGCCAAUGGCACUGCCCGGUAGCUAAAUGCGGAAGAGAUAAGUGCUGAAAGCAUCUAAGCACGAAACUUGCCCCGAGAUGAGUUCUCCCUGACUCCUUGA